UUGCUCACUUUGGCAGCACAUAUACCAAAACUGGAACAAUACAGAGAUUAGCACAGCCCCUGCUCAAGGAUGACAUGCAAGUCUGUGAAGCGUUCCAUAAAAAA
rnacentral:snRNA from 1 species